ensembl:lncRNA
GGACACGAGUGCACAUAAGACGUGAUCCCUCCCCUCGAGCUGCUCACCUCUAGAAGACAGAUGAAAGAGGACAAAGUUAUCGGUUUUCCCCUGGACUCCUGCAAACUCCACCUGGAAGAAGAAUCUGUUCUCCAUCUCCGAGGCAGUGGUUCUCACACAUGCUCAUUACAAGAGUCCCUCAAAGGGGCAGAGUCCCAGCUGGAAUCAGGAAAUGUGAUCACAGAAGCCAGGUCAGAGUGAUGUGCCUGUUGGCUUCAAAGACGGAGGACAGGGGCCAUGAGCCAAAGGAUGUGAGCAGCCUCUAGAAGCUGGACAAGGCAAAGAUUCUCUGCCAGAGACUCUGAAAGGAACAGAGCUCCGCCGACAUCUGCGUUAGCCCAGUGAGACCCUUUUUGGACAUCUGGACUAGAGAAUGGAGCCGGUGCCUUCAUCUCUGUAACUAAGACCUGACACGUCCAUGGGGUCCAGCGGGAGGACAGGUGAACUGCUUUGGCUAUUGUGCGUGCUGUGGCUGGAGCCCGCUCAGCAUUCCAUUGGCACGGCGUUUAGAACCUGAGUCUCUGCAAACAUGAUUAAAGGAAAGGAGUUACUAGUUUUUCCUCUCUUCUGGCUGUUAUCUGGGAAGCUCUGAACUCAGAGGAGUUGCCGAGUGGGGGUGUCCUGCAUGAAAGAAGAUGGGAAGGAAAGAACUCCCCAUUUCACCUUCCUAAGCAGUGGAGGAAGGGGAUCAGAAACAGCAAAUGCUGAUGAAAACUCCACUUCCAAAUACAUUCCAUGGCUUAUUUGUGGAGGGAAAUGCUUUUUACCUUUUGAACUUUCAGAUACCUGGCAAAAGCAAAUGGGAUUUCCAGGGAAUGUGUGAAAGGAUCUGGCCCUGCUCUUCGGGACAUCUGCUCAAAUUCCAGGCAGAAUGGACAGAGAGGCUCCUUUCCCGAAAGAAGCAUCAAGACCAGUGCUUGGCAUUACUUAUAAUAGCCAAGAUAUGGAAACAUCCUAAAGAUCCAUACGACCGUCCACAGAGUGAAUAAAGAAGAUGUGGUAUGUGUAUAUUGAAAUGCUACUCGGCUAUAAAAAAGAAUGGAGUGAUGCCAUUUCCAGCAACAUGGAUGAACCUAGGGAUUUUGUCAUAUUAAGUGAAGUCAGAAAGGUAAAUAUCAUAUGAUAGCAUUUGUAUGUGGAAUCUAAAAAAAGGAUAUAAAUGAACUUAUUUACAAAACAGAAACAGAUUCACAGACAUAAAAAACAAACUUAUGGUUACCAAAGGGGGCCGGGGGGAGGGAUAAAUCAGGAGUUUGGGGGAUUAUCAGAUACACACUACUACAUAUAAAAUAGACCACAAAGUCUUCCUGCAGAGCACAGGGAACUAUAUUCAAUAUCCUAUAAUAACCA